rnacentral:tRNA from 1 species
GGAGGUGUAGCUCAGUGGUAUAGUUCUUCCCUAGUAUGGUCAAGGGGCCCUGGGUUUAAACCCCAGCACUGCUG